rnacentral:lncRNA from 1 species
CACAAAGUCAUCAGAAGACUUUCAUAAGAUUUAUGUAGUUUCAUAUUACAAUACCAAAGCAUCAUACAAAAAAAAAAGGGCAAAUUUAUAGCUACAGAAAUUUUCUUUUGACAAACGUCGCAUUGGAUUGUAUCAAUCAACUUUCAGGUGUAUCAAUCAACUUUCAGGUGCUUCUCCAGCUAAAUACUGUUUGUGGACCAUUUUCUUGAAAUCUGCAUGAUUAUUCCAUUAGUUAUGACUAGCAUUGAUUAAACAAUAUUUAAAACUUGCUGUACAAUCUACUAGAGCACUAGAUAUGUUAAAUAAGGAAGCAGAUAAGGUAAUACAGGUUCUAGGAUCCUCCAGAAACAGAGUAAUCGAAAUAGAGAUGAAAUGAAGUAAACAUCGGAGCAACUAAGCGAUAAUAACAACAAAUAGUUGGAAGUUUAGAUAAUUGAAUCAGAAAACAAAUGUGUUGUACAGUGGAAAAAUAUUUCUUAC